UACGGAGAGUGCAAGCGUUGUUCGGAAUUAUUGGGCGUAAAGCGCGUGUAGGUGGCUCAACAAGUCUGGCGUGAAAGCCUAGGGCUCAACCCUAGAAGUGCGCUGGAAACUGUCGAGCUUGAGUACCGGAGGGGAAGGUGGAAUUCUCGAGUGUAGAGGUGAAAUUCGUAGAUAUUCGGAAGAACAUCAGUGGCGAAGGCGACCUUCUGGACGGAUACUGACACUGAGACGCGAAAGCGUGGGUAGCAAACAGGAUUAGAUACCCUGGUAGUCCACGCUGUAAACGAUGGGUGCUAGUUGUCGCGGGUAACCAACCCUGCGGUAACGAAGCUAACGCGAUAAGCACCCCGCCUGGGGAUUACGGCCGCAAGGCUA
rnacentral:rRNA from 1 species